rnacentral:pre_miRNA from 1 species
UCUUCAUUUCACGUGCUCUCUCACCGGUCAGAGUGACGAAAGAGUGUAAAAAAUGAAGAGA